GAAAUCACUAAGAAUUCUUGGCAUUCGCUAAUUACUUCAUCCAGAACACCUGUGUAUGUUUAACAGCUGUAAGCUAUGUAUAUAUUGAAAUUCUGGUUAUAAUAAACUCAGAGUGGCCAUCAGCCCUCUCCGCAUCUAUCCUGAUGUGUACAUUGGAUUGCGACACCGACACUCAGUAGUUUGGUUUCUGAGGACUUCAGUAGGUUUUAAGGAUGUAGCAUGGCCUGAAGCAGCUUCUGCCUGUCACUUCAGACUGCAACAACCUUUCAUUGGCUUCCCAUCCUUCUCUGUUUGCGGGUUGGUCUGUGAAAACCAAGAAUCUAAAGUCUCUAUGACAUCUUCCCCUCUGCCCCAGAAAUAUUAGUUUAAAUUUUUAUUUUUCUCUUUUGCAGUCAUAAGAGAAAAUCUUAAGGUACUAUUGCAAACCUACAAGAUAUGUACACUCUUCUGCUUUCCUGAAAUAUUUGCUGGUACGUGACCAAGCCUUUCUGCUCUGUGAUUUUUUCUUUUUCAUUAAUAGUGUCCAGGUUUAUAGACUCACGUGAUUUGCUGACAAAAAGGGUCUGAGUAUUUUCUUUUUGGUUUCUCUAGGUGACUGGAAGUUUUUUAUGGGUGAGACUCUCUGUUCCUCUUUGUCAUCCUUAGGCCCUAACAUGGAGCCUGACAUCUAACACGUACUCUACUGAUGCUUUUGAAACUGAAAUGUGAAUGCGUUUAACCAAACUUUAUACAUGAUCAGAGUAACUUAUUUCCCAUUUGAACCCUUUAAGACAAUUUCAUACCAGUUUCUUCAGUAUUUUGGGGCAGAAUUGACCUCUCCAUCUUUGACUACAGUCUCGUGGUAAUAUUGAUUCUGCUAGUAUCAGACUUGAAUGGCCAUUACUAUUCAUUACUCCACUACAAAGUAGUUCAUUCAGUUCUCCAACAUGAAGAAAUAUACACCUGGUGUCUGGCUGGCCUACUUAUUAGGCAGCCUCGCUCUUAGCUGAGGCUGGGCAAUCUAUUUUGUGUUGGUUUUGCUUUAGAGGAAGCACAGUUUGUGUUGGACUUGAGGUGACUUGACACUGAUCCCUUGGAACAGAUGGCAGCUAACCACUGAUGUCACAGUAGCAAACCUUCAGGGAUGACACCUGGAGACCACAGGUAAGUGUUCCUGCACACAAAACCCAAUGAGAUAGAACUGUAUCACCUUAAGAUCUUCAGUUAGUAAGGCCUAGUUUAAAAAAAACUUAUCAAACAACAUUGACAGCAAAUAUAGUAUAGUCAACAGGAAAGAUGAGUAUUGCUUUCCCUUAUUAUUUCCUCCGGCAGCCUUAACACAUUUAGCACUGUCCAUGUUAAGAUUUAUCUCCUGAGAGUGACAAGGAUAGCCUUUAUGGUUAGACCUGGACUUGAAUCUCACUCCCACAACUUUCUAUCCACGGGGACUGGGGAAUUUGGUUCACUUCUCUCAGCCAGCUUUCUCAUCUGUAAAGUGGAGAAAAAUAUAUAACUGCACAGGGCUAUAGUUAAACAAAACGUGAAGUUUCUAGCACAGUGACUAUGAUGGUAACCUCAUUUUAAAUGUUAGAUUUUCCCUUCCUAAAUAUAUCUGGUAUUGAUCUUAAUAUUUACAGUUGAAAAUUCAUGCAUGGGGGAGAAAAUAUAACAGCCCUUCAUCUAACCAUUUUGUUGAUUUUUGAUGAAUUGAUCCAAAUGCUAAGCAUAUUGAGUAACUUGUCUUCUAGAAGUUUAAAGUAAAAUAAGUAAGUUUUUUUUUCGUGAAAAUUCAUUAUAGAAUAAUGGGGAAAAGUCUUUGAUUGGGAGUCAGAAGAUCUAUUCUCCCGUUCCAUGUCUGCCCCAAACACAACAUAUCAAACACAGAAUCCAUCUUCUUUCCUGUAAGCUUGUCCAUCAGCCCAGCAGCAAUCUCAAAGUCAUCCGAAUUCGACACCGUCAGGCUGUUUUCCUCUUCCUCCGUGCGUCUAGUGAGUCAUUAAUUCUGUUGCUUCCUGCUUCAUAAUGGCUUUGUCAUCUCCUCCUUCCUUUCCGUUCCCACUGCUAGACCCUAACCUAACACUUACCUUGUUUGCAGACAAUUGCGGUAGUCUCCUAAUUCAGCUUCCUGCUCCAUGCCACUACUCAAACCACCCGCCCCAACAAACCUGAUGGCCUCAAAUAAUUUUUUGUGUAGAUUACUGAAAAAUUGAAUAUCUUUACAACUAGCUGUGAAUUUUCCCCAGAUAUGACCACAUUAUACAGCUGGAGCGCAAGCCGUGGAUGGCAAUAUACCUGAGAAAGAAAAUUAUUAUUGCAACUGAGACCAUUUGGAGCUACUGGAACAGCACGAGGGACUCUGUUAACUUUACUUACUUCCGUCAUGUCAUGCCUCUCACUGCCUUCUGCUCAACCUCACGGUCUUGUCAAACGAAGGCGAAAGAAUUCCAGAUCUCAGACGCGUGCCAGGAGAUUACUGAAACACAUUCUGGAACAGGAGGAGGGCGGAAAAAAUAACGCCACGUCUUCUGCAUCUGUUACGUGUGCUGCUGCAAGUCGUUAUCCUGUAGCCAAGCUCUCGCCUCCCAAAACCCGCUCCCCCGACUUCAGGAUGUCUGUCACACCCUGCUUCGCGUCAGCAGUCAGCUUCUCGAUGUCAGUGUUGUGAGCACAGUAAUACCGGCAUCAACCUCGCUUUCACAUACCCCAGAGGCCUAAGGUGUAUACACGUAUAGAAAGGUGGGCUCAUUUACUAUGUGCAUAAUGUGCAUUCAUAAUUUUCAUAGGCAUUAUAUGCAUCCUAUUAAAAUUUAGUUGGGCAUUUAUCAUGUAUUUAAUGUGGUUCUAGCUGUUACUUUAACUCAGAUAUUAUGAAAAGUAAAGAGAUAAACAUGAUGAUAGGACAAAAGAAAAAUUGAAAGCGUUAAGAAAUAAACAAGGGGACGGUAUUUUAGUUGUCUCUGCUAUUUCCAGAAUGAAUAAUUGACAGAAUGACUCAGGGAGUAUCCAGAGAAAAGGCUGGGACAUCCUUUCAGAUUAUACACAUCCUGGAAGUUGGUUUCUCCCUAAUGAUAAGAAGGGAUGUUUAUGAAACGCACACCAUCACUGAAGCACAAAAAUCAAAGAAUUAUCCACAAAUAAUAAACAGCUAAAGCCUAUGCUUCAUGAAAUUGGAUGAUAUUUGCAACUUCAGCGUUUGAGCAGAUCUGUGCAGCGAUAUAGGAUCAGAAAUAUCUAGAAUAAGUAAUAGAUGAAGAAACCUCUGUAAUUUAGAGCCUAAAUGUCCAUGCAAGAUAGUCUUUUUUCAUUGUGCAUCAGCAGCAAAAGGGAUGCUGUUCAAGCUGAGCUGGCACUAGAUUUCCGACAGAGAAAGUUGAGGAGGAAACCUAGCAGACCCCUAAAGCCACUGAGAGUUUCUUCCCCAUCUGGCCAAUGGAGUAAUAAAUACCGUAAUGACGGGGAUUGGGAACAACAGUAAUCUCACACUGAAGGGUGUGGUAAGAUCUUGUUUAUUUAUGAUUAAACUAAGAUUUUAGUGAACUGAGUAUUGUCCAUUUCCCAAUCUGAAUAAGUCAUUUUCAACAUAUGCUGAAGUUAUCUUCAAAAAGUUCUGUGACAAAGAAUUCCUUUGUUGGUUAUAGGUAUAAACUUAGACUCUAAUCAUACCAGAUACUGCUUUGAGGGUUUCCUAUGGGAAUGAGCAGAGUAGUUGUGAGCCCCACUUACAGGAUUCUGUCUUGCAGCUAGUGCUCUCUAGGUGUUCAUUCUUCCUGACACAUUGACAGCUGGGGAUUUCCCUAAUGGUGAGUUUUAAACAGAUAUUUGGGAGGCCAGAGAGAAGGAAUUUAGUUGCGUGAAUAUCUAACCCUUGUUUAUAUAGAGGUUGAGUCCAAGACGUAGAUUUAAAUCUAGGUCCAUAAAAUAUAAAUAGGUAUAUAGGAUACAUGUGCACUAAAAAUUUUAACACCCUGUUAGCAAAACUUUCCUGAAUAUUUUGUCUUUUCAGGAUGGCUAUUUAUGUUUCUUUCAAAAUAAUUCUUACAUAAGGUAUGUUGUUCUUUACGUUUGCUAUAUCUAUGCAGGAGUCAAAAUUUAUAGUAAAUAUAUCAUUUGAGGAUAUAAAAUGUUGCUGGAGAUCAUUACAUGAAAACUGAAAAAGCAAAAUAAGCAUAUGAUUAAAGGCAAAAUUGGUGAUAUGGAUAUCACAGAGUAUUUGUGAUAUCCCAUUCAUUCAUUCAACAAAUAUUAAGUGCCUACUGUCUACCAGGCAUUCUUCUAGGCACUGGAGGUUAGAUGAGAGAGGCAGACACUUAUUACUUAAUUAUUAAUUAUUAUUGGGAAAGGGUUAACUCUGGUGGAGAUAAAACAAGGAAAAUGGUCCUUGUUAUACCAUGGGUGAUCAGGGAAGAGCUCUCUGUUAAGGUUCCUGAAAGGGAAGGUUUGAGCCAGGAAGGUAGAGUGCUCCAGGGCGAGGAAGCAGCAUGUAGAAUGAGACAGGUGACAUUCAAGGAGCCAGGUAGAAAACAUAAGUCACGUUUGGCCUUGGAAGCCACUGACAGCCCUUGAGCUUCUUCUGACAGAAGGAACCGUCUGAAGAGUUUUGAAGAGGACGAUGACAUCAUUUGACCAGGAUGCUCUGACAGUUCAAAGGAGAGAUAAUGGUGGUAUUAACAAGUGCAGUAGCCAUCAAGGUGGUGAGAGUGGUCAGAUUGUGAAUACAUUGUGGAAAUGAAGCUGAUGUUUGCUGGAAGUGGGGGAGGAAGAGAAUUCAAGAAGUCAAGGAGGAGUCCAGGUUUUUUGACGUGACCAGCUGGGAGAAGGAAGUUGCGACCUACUGAGAUGAGAGUUGCAGAAAGAGCAUCGUGAUGUGGAGGCGGGAAAUCAGAAGUUAGUUUGGGGUGUGCCACAGACCUCCCAGUGGAGAUGCAUUACAGACGGCUUCAUAUAUGAGUCUGGAAAUCAAUGGAGAGAUUCGGGCAAGGAAUAUACACUUGGCAGUUGUCAUUGUGGCCUUCAGUGUUUAGAGGUUGGGGGGGUGAGAAGGAAACAAAGGAGACUGAGAAUGACUGGUUAUUGGAAAAACUGAGAACCAAGAGAGUGGGCUUCCAAGAUCCAAGUGAUGAGACUUCAUAAAGAAGGGAGUGAGCACUGAACAAACGAUAAUUUACC
ensembl:lncRNA